AGUGAACGCUGGCGGUAGGCCUAACACAUGCAAGUCGAACGGCAGCGCAGUAAGAGCUUGCUCUUACGGGUGGCGAGUGGCGGACGGGUGAGGAAUACAUCGGAAUCUAGUUUUUGGUGGGGGAUAACGUAGGGAAACUUACGCUAAUAUCGCAUACGCCCUACGGGUGAAAGCAGGGGAACUUCGGGCCUUGCGCGAUUGAAUGAGCGGAUGUCGGAUUAGCUAGUUGGCGGGGUAAAGGCCCACCAAGGCGACGAUCCGUAGCUGGUCUGGGUGGAUGAUCAGCCACACUGGAACUGAGACACGGACCAGACUACUACGGGAGGCAGCAGUGGGGAACAUUGGACAAUGGGCGCAAGCCUGAUCCAGCCAUACCGCGUCGGUGAAGGAGGCGUCCGGGUUGGAAAGCCCGUUUGUUGGGAAAGAAAAGCAGCAGCUUAAUACCCCGCGGUUCUGACGGUACCCAAAGAAUAAGCACCGGCUAACUUCGUG
rnacentral:rRNA from 1 species